UGCGCCUUGCCAGCCCGCUCAGAAACUUAAAGGAUUGACGGGGGCCCGGCACAAGCAGCGGAGCAUGUGGCUUAAUUCGACGCAACGCGAAGAACCUUACCAGGGCUUGACAUGCAGGGAAAAGCGGCGGAAACGUCGUGUCCGCAAGGGCCCUGCACAGGUGGUGCAUGGCUGUCGUCAGCUCGUGUCGUGAGAUGUUGGGUUAAGUCCCGCAACGAGCGCAACCCUUGUCAUUAGUUGCCAUCAUUAAGUUGGGCACUCUAAUGAGACUGCCGGUGACAAACCGGAGGAAGGUGGGGAUGACGUCAAGUCCUCAUGGCCCUUAUGGGUAGGGCUUCACACGUCAUACAAUGGUCGGUACAAAGGGUUGCCAAGCCGCGAGGUGGAGCCAAUCCCAGAAAGCCGAUCGUAGUCCGGAUCGGAGUCUGCAACUCGACUCCGUGAAGUCGGAAUCGCUAGUAAUCGUGGAUCAGCAUGCCACGGUGAAUACGUUCCCGGGUCUU
rnacentral:rRNA from 1 species